UGCCCCACCCACCUAUAACUUUUUGAUUGUAAGCGUGCGUACAAAUUCAUGUACUCUCCUUUAACAUGCAGGCCAGUGUAGCAAAUCGCAGUUAUCGCUCGUGUAACCUACUCGGGUUUUUGAGAACAAUAACAGGAGCAUCACCUAAUAAGAUAAAGUAUCAGAUAAAAUGUUUGGGAAACGAUAUUACUAUGGCUUAAAGUGUGGUUCUCCCCUAGC
rnacentral:lncRNA from 1 species